AGAGUUUGAUCCUGGCUCAGAAUCAACGCUGGCGGCGUGCCUAACACAUGCAAGUCGAACGAGAAAGUGGAGCAAUCCAUGAGUAAAGUGGCGCACGGGUGAGUAACACGUGACUAACCUACCCUUGAGUGGGGGAUAACCUAGGGAAACCUGGGCUAAUACCGCAUAAUACCUACGGGUCAAAGGAGCAAUUCGCUUAA
rnacentral:rRNA from 1 species